AUUGAACGCUGGCGGCAUGCUUUACACAUGCAAGUCGAACGGCAGCGCGGGCUUCGGCCUGGCGGCGAGUGGCGAACGGGUGAGUAAUGCAUCGGAACGUGCCCCGCAGUGGGUUAUAGCCCGGUGAAAGCCGGAUUAAUACCGCAUACGACCUGAGGGUGAAAGCGGGGGACCGAAAGGCCUCGCGCUAUUGGAGCGGCCGAUGUCGGAUUAGCUAGUUGGUGGGGUAAAGGCUUACCAAGGCGACGAUCCGUAGCUGGUCUGAGAGGACGACCAGCCACACUGGGACUGAGACACGGCCCAGACUCCUACGGGAGGCAGCAGUGGGGAAUGUUGGACAAUGGGGGCAACCCUGAUCCAGCCAUGCCGCGUGCGGGAAGAAGGCCUUCGGGUUGUAAACCGCUUUUGUUCGGGAAGAAAUCCUCUGGGCUAAUACCCCGGGGGGAUGACGGUACCGGAAGAAUAAGCACCGGCUAACUACGUG
rnacentral:rRNA from 1 species